AUUGAACGCUGGCGGCAUGCUUUACACAUGCAAGUCGAACGGCAACAGGCCGCAAGGUGCUGACGAGUGGCGAACGGGUGAGUAAUGCAUCGGAACGUGCCCAGUCGUGGGGGAUAACGCAGCGAAAGCUGCGCUAAUACCGCAUACGAUCUAUGGAUGAAAGCGGGGGACCGUAAGGCCUCGCGCGAUUGGAGCGGCCGAUGUCAGAUUAGGUAGUUGGUGGGGUAAAGGCUCACCAAGCCAACGAUCUGUAGCUGGUCUGAGAGGACGACCAGCCACCCUGGGACUGGGACACGGCGCAGACUCCUACGGGAGGCAGCAGGUGGGAAUUUUGGACAAUGGGCGCAAGCCUGAUCCAGCAAUGCCGCGUGCAGGAAGAAGGCCUUCGGGUUGUAAACUGCUUUUGUACGGAACGAAACGGUCCUGGUUAAUACCCGGGGCUAAUGACGGUACCGUAAGAAUAAGCACCGGCUAACUACGUGCCAGCCGCCGCGGUAAGAC
rnacentral:rRNA from 1 species